rfam:Ophiostoma piceae TAMH 11346 chromosome Tnknown scf09, whole genome shotgun sequence.
GGGAUUAUGGUUUAGUGGCUAGAAUACCUCGUUGUGGCCGAGGAGACCCGUGUUCGAUUCACGGUAAUCCCA